GAUGAAGAACGUAGCGAAAUGCGAUAAGUAAUGUGAAUUGCAGAAUUCAGUGAAUCAUCGAAUCUUUGAACGCACAUUGCGCCCCUUGGUAUUCCGAGGGGCAUGCCUGUUCGAGCGUCAUUAUAACCCCCAAGCUCAGCUUGGUGUUGGGGCCUGCUGCAGUGGCAGCCCUUAAAAUCAGUGGCGGCGCCAUCUGGCUCUAAGCGUAGUAAUUCUUCUCGCUAUGGAGUCCUGGUGGAUGCUUGCCAUCAACCCCCAAUUUUUCUAUGGUUGACCUCGGAUCAGGUAGGGAUACCCGCUGAACUUAAGCAUAUCAAUAAGCGGAGGA
rnacentral:misc_RNA from 1 species